rnacentral:piRNA from 1 species
UUCAAAUUGCAGGGUCACGGA